AUGCAUCAUCCCCUCCUUCCUAGUCCACCAUGGACUCAUGAACCAAGAACGAUCAUUUCUCCCCCUCCUGCCUAUCAUCUCAAGGCGGUCUUAGGCAACAACCCCUCCAAGGAACGUUGUACCACCCCAGGUUUCCUUAAAGGGAGCCACACAGCUUCCGUAUACCCAAGGGCCUAUGACGGGGUGAAGAAGGCGUCCAUAGCGGGAUGGAUGAGGAUACAAGAAAAGUAUAAGAGCAAGUUCCAAGUCAUAAGAGACCAGAUGAGCCAAGGACCCAGGCCAAAAACAGAGCCGACCGAGCAGUGGAAUGGUGGAUGCGAGCAGGAUGAACUGGUGCCCCGACCCACAGGGGCUCGACGGGCGGCUUCGAAGACAUAUGAAGUUGAGGCGACGUGCCCAAUCUGUCAAGCGGCUGUGGAUUCAUGGCGACAUGCUUUAUUGGACUGUAAUAUGUCCAAGAGUGUAUGGUCCUUGCGCGACGAUGAUUCUCUUCUUCCAAUCUAUGGCGACGAGACUACCUAUCCAAGGAGAAAGGCCAUCCAUGAGCAUGAGAUGCAAAGUCCGUUGUCCACACACAUGUUUAUUCAGAAGUACUUGCAGGAGCUCAACGACCUCCAAGCAAAGACCCGAAGUACUAGAACUGCAAGAACUCCGAAGGCGGGGCAUGUUUUACACAGCCCAGCGGCACUAGGCGCAUUUUGUUUUGCUCUUUGUGCCAUAGGAGUACGUACGUACAGCGAAGUAGUAGUAGCAGCAUCAAGGACAAGUGAGGAGCAGGGCAUGCAGCUAAGCGUGGAGCUGGUGACGGAGGACGAUGGCGCCACCUUCCAUCAGCCGGGCCGCUGCCGCGGCAGCAGUCUCACCCAUGGCGGCAACCUCGAGGGCGGCCGGGGCCUUGUUCCCUCCGGCGCUUACAGGGGCCGGCGCCGGGGCACCGCCACCAUGUACGAGGGGAUGGCCGGCCCUCAGAGCGUCGAACGAGAUGUACCUCGCCUUGGCGGACUCGCCCGCCAUGACCGCGCACAGCACCACGGCCAGCGCCAGCAGCCGGCCGGUGGAGAGGCGAACGGUGGCCGUCGCCAUGUCACUCUGAGUCUGAUCUCUCCUCCGGUGAGUACGUCAGACCGGGCUGGGAUCGUAUGCGCUGUUCAGUCGCGACGAGCUACGGGCGCCUCCAUUGAAGGAAGGCACAUGGUUGUGGUUGGCGAUGAUCAUCAAGUGCGAUUAAUUGGCCGGCUGCAAUGGUCGCUCGUCGUCGUAGGUUUGGCAGGCCUGGCUCCUAGCUAG
rnacentral:rRNA from 1 species